ACGGAGGGGGCGAGCGUUGUUCGGAAUUACUGGGCGUAAAGCGCGCGUAGGCGGUCGUGCAAGUCGGAUGUGAAAGCCCUCGGCUCAACCGAGGAACUGCGUCCGAUACUGCUCGACUUGAGUCCGGUAGGGGAUGGCAGAAUUCCCGGUGUAGCGGUGGAAUGCGUAGAUAUCGGGAGGAAUACCGAUGGCGAAGGCGGCCAUCUGGGCCGGAACUGACGCUGAUGCGCGAAAGCUAGGGGAGCAAACAG
rnacentral:rRNA from 1 species